AAGCCAACCAAUUACCUCUGUUUCUUCCGAAACUUAUAAAUAACUGGCAAUAGUGAUGCCAUUUUAUGAGCCUUAAGGACAAAGUGAGGUCAUUACUGUCCCCCCAAAUGGCUACAAUA
rnacentral:snoRNA from 1 species